rfam:Ipomoea nil DNA, scaffold: scaffold1317, cultivar: Tokyo-kokei standard.
GGGGAUGUAGCUCAGAUGGUAGAGCGCUCGCUUAGCAUGUGAGAGUUACAGGGACUUCCCUGCAUUUUUA